rnacentral:rRNA from 1 species
AUUGAACGCUGGCGGCAGGCCUAACACAUGCAAGUCGAACGAGUGGCGGACGGGAGAGUAAUGUCUGGGAGUCUGCCUGAUGGAGGGGGAUAACUACUGGAAACGGUAGCUGAUACCGCAUACCAUCGGAUGUGCCCAGAUGGGAUUAGCUGGUAGGUGGGGUAAAGGCUCACAUAGGCGACGAUCCCUAGCUGGUCUGAGAGGAUGACCAGCCACACUGGAACUGAGACACGGUCCAGACUCCUACGGGAGGCAGCAGUGGGGAAUAUUGGAAAAUGGGCGAAAGCCUGAUGCAGCCAUGCCGCGGGUAUGAAGAAGGCCUUCGGGUUGUAAAGUACUUUCAGCGGGGAGGCGUUACCCGCAGAAGAAGCACCGGCUAACUCCGUGCCAGCAGCCGCGGUAAUUC